rnacentral:rRNA from 1 species
GUCUACAGCCAUGUUACCCUGAACAACCCGAUCCCAUCUGAUCUCGGAAGCUAAGCAGGAUCAGGCUUGGUUAGCACUUAGAUGGGAGACCACUUACGAAGACCAGGUGCUGCAGGCA